GUUUGUAACAAAGCUAAUAUUAAGGCACAUCAAUUUGAUGAAUGCAGAUUUGAUGUAUCUGUUAAUGACUGUUUAGUCUGGUAUUUAAGAGCAAGCAGUCCAGAAGAAAAGCAACAAUGGGUAGAUGUUUUGAAGUCUUAUAAGUCUAAAUCUGGUCAUGGAAGUGAAAAUAGUCUCAAAUGACAUGGUAGUGCCAUUUCACUUGUGUCCAACACAAUCGACAACAAGCACUGGUAGUUUCAAGCAUGGUAUUCGAGGACUGAAAGAAAAAUUAGCCAAAAUGGAAAUAUUCAGAGACAUUCUGAUAAAGCAGAUUGAUACCUUGCAAAAGUAUUUUGAUAACUGUGCAGAAAAUGCUAAGAAUAUUUUCAAGAAAGAAAAGAAAGUUGAGACAUCGUUUAAUCCAGCUGAACAAUCAGUGGAUUUCAAGGAAGAAGCGAUAACAUUUAAAGCCACCAGUGAAGGAGUUUUAGCAACUUUANAACAUUGCGUAGAAUUGAUGGUGCAAAGAGAGGAUGCAUAGCGUCGUAGAUGAAAGAAAGAAGUCGAGAAAAAACGGAAGUUACAAGAACUUUAUAAGGCUUUGAAANAUCGAGUUGCCAUGCAUCAUAACGGUUCUCCGAAACCCAGGGUGUUUAUUCAUGGAGGUCNUGGGUUUAUUAUUUAAAUUCUAGUUUUAUCUAUCGUUGUAAGUUUUGUUUUAUUAUAAGUUUUGUUUA